UAAACCCGUUCAUCCUACCCUUCCCUCUUUUGUUCCAUUGAUUUCUAGUAUUUACGGCCAUAACCAUAUGAUUGAAUAGAAUUCUGGUGUAAAUGAAGCCCCUUUUUCAGUCUCGUUGUCUUCUUAAAACCCUUUUCGAUAGGUUUCAUAGUUUAAGCUACGAUCGUGAACAAGCAUCCUCGCUUUUUCAAUGGGAACUUUUUUUUUUCUCCUAGUUGUAUGCAUAAAUCAUAAUCAUCCGGCAUUUUAUGGUAGAUGGUACCAUUGUCGAUGAUGAUGAUAACCUCUUCAGUUCAAGCAAUGAUUUCGUGUUUUGUUCUUUCAGACUUCAGAGCCUUCUUUCCUGUUUCAUAUUUCCUUGGUACUUUGAUUUCUAAUGGACUCAGUUUGCUCAUCUGGUUCUAUUAUUUGUAGUGUGGUGUGUUAGCAUUAACUUGAUCUUCUUUGCAGUCGGGUCCUCUUUCAGAAUGUAAAUUUUUUAAAUGUUAUUCUCGCAUCUUGUUCUCACAGGAAUACUUUUUAUUAUCUUUACUGUGAAUUCACUAAGCAUAACAUGUCUUUUGUUAUAAAUUUUCUCCCAGUCCAUUGUUUGUCACUUGGAAGAAAGUGGUCAAUGGUGGUGAGCCUCGUUUACGUGGAUGCAUUGGGACUUUGGAGUCUAGAUACUUGAUUAAUGGAUUCAAGGACUAUGCUUUAACCAGGUAUUGAUGAUGAUAUGUUACUCAUUUAAGAAAUAUGUUUUAAUCUGUUGCACUCAAUGUGUGACAAACAAAUGGACAUUUUCACACCUGGAAAACACCAAUAGCAGUAAACUUAGUAUGGAAAAUGUAGUAAAAACUGUAACAAACGUAAUGAAAUUUGGUGCGUUUAAAUGUUGGAGUCAGGCCUGGACUAUUUCAUCCCCAGCUGCAUCAGUUGGCUCCAGAUUAUUUUUUUCACUGAUUUAUUUGUUAAGAUUAGAUGAAUUUAUUGACAAUCAAUUAUUCUGUUGCGGAUUGUAUUUAGUGCAUUUAGAACUUCUCAUUAUACUUCGUACCUCCUUUUAGAUGAAGUUGUUGGAAGAAUAUGUGAAAAGUGGAACAUAGUUUUCUUGAUAUGGAUUAUACAUUUAUAAGAUGGUACUUGUGCUUCAUGCAUAGUCUUACACCCAUCUCGUCUGACCUUUUCAUCAGAAUUAUUUCUGAAACUAGUUUUCUUAAAUACCUGAUUUGAUUGUUUCUGGAUCUUCUCUGGCCGAUUAUCUUAUGCAUGCCUGCCUCUGAAUUCUAAUUACAAUUUUUUGUAUUGGUACAGUGCUUUAAGGGACCGAAGGUUUCCUCCAAUACAGGCAAAAGAGUUGCCUUCCCUAGAAUGUACAGUGUCUAUUCUAACUGAUUAUGAAACUGCUAACAACUAUCUUGACUGGGAGGUAUGCUUUUUUUCUCCCCACACAUUUGGAAUACUAGUCUAUGCUGUAGCUACUUCGUUUAUAAUCACUAGAGGCUGGGGUUGACUUCAAUUUCUGCAGUUUAAGACCCCAGCCAUUUAUAUCACAAGAAAUGAAAGCUGUUAACGAGUCAUGUGGCAGCUCCAGGACGGUGUCCUUAGACAUAGACGGUUGCAGAAAAGCCAAUAUGAUAAAAAAAGUUGUUAGCUUUGUUUACAUGGUGAUGCAAGUAUACAACCUCUGGUGUUUUUCUGGAGGAAAAUCAAAGCCAAAUGGUCGUCUAGAAUCUAGAUUAUAGACUGACCAAAUGCAAACGUACAUUCAAUGAUAUUGCUAAAUUGCCAUUGUAGAUGUUGGAAAAAAACAAUUCCAAGGCCCUCCGACUAUGUGUUGUUGAACCCUUUAUAGUAUGGUGUGAUUUGUCAAAUAUAAAUAAGCUGCUUCUCUAUUUUGCAAGUUUGGAGUGUCAACUUCCAAGUGGUGAUCUGUUUUGUCAAUUAUGUGCUAGGCUGAUGUAUUAGAUGAAUAUAAGCGUUUAUUUGGGAAAGUUGGCAUCCCGUUGGUAGGAGGCAGUCGUCUCAUGUCAUGGCUCUGGUAUAAGAAUAGUGGGAUGCUGCAAAACUGACUUGGAAAAUGAGGAACAACAAGCAUCUUGAAAAAACUAACUUAAUUAGGUUUGAGGAGUUGGGCCCGUAUAUCCACAUUUAGCAUCUCCAAUGAUAUUUGCAUAUAUGCUCUCCGUUUGUGGCUUUUUGGCUGUUGCUUGCUACUCGUAUUGUGUUGCAACGUGCUUGCAUUGAGGCUGGAGUUUGGAGAUGCUAUCUGGGAAUCUGUUCUUGUUACUGGUUCAUCCAAACUUGUAACAAGUUGAAUUGAUCGUGUUACAAUUGCAGUUUGAUGAUGCACCAAUGUUAUAUUCAUAUCACAUUUGCUCUUCACGUAUUUGUUCACGUGUGGGAUAUUGAGGAUCCUAACAAGAAUAUGGUUUUGUGAUUAGCGUAUGAGCACGACAUCAAUGUGAAACAGGAAGUUCAGUUCCCUUUUGGGGGAUGCUAUUGCCCACCCAUAUCGGUAGUGGGUUAAAUACUUGAUAGGUUUGCUAGAUCCGGAUGCUCAGCCAUAUCGGUAGCAUUCCGCGGUCUUGUCUUAGCCACUCUUCCGGAACUCCAUUAGAUCCGACGCCGCCACAAGUUCCACUGUUAAUCACUUCAGCCAAUUCAUCAGAUUAAGUUGUAAUCUAACAAUUGAGUACUUGAUUGCAACUUUGUGACUUGUGAGAGAACCAUAAGUAAUCUACAUUUGUCCUUGGUAGUGUGCGUAUGCAGGCUUAAAGAUACAAGGACUAAAAUAAGCAUGCCUGUAAAGUUCAAGUACUAAAAAGUUCACAAGAACACUCUUCUGUGGUGGGCCGAACUUGAGCUGCUUUUCUGUCUCUUUUGCUCCUUUUUUCUUUUGGCUUUUGCUAUCUAAUUAUCAGUACCGACAUUUUAGCGUAAGCAGAUUGCUCUCUGCUUCCAAUUUUCCUAUUACUUUCCUUCCGCUCCUCAAUCAAAUCGGUCUUCCUCAAUCUCUCUGUGUUUUCAAUUUCAUCUUCUGUUGACGGAUUCUGCUUCUUCCUUAUGAUCUAACCUACUACCCCCCAUCUGCUUGUUUUUUAAGCUUUGAUUGUAUCUGUUCGUGAUCAUAACUUGGUCUGAUCCACUGAAAUUACCAGGUUCUGGUGACGACACAUCUGCCGUUGAUUUUGCUUCUCGGGUUUCUUUGCAUCCCAAGGUUAGGGGCUCUUCCUGAUUCUCUUGAUGUGAACUUCACCUUUUUUUCCUUCAUGCAUGAUAACUGCUCGACGAAAUGCUUUGUUCUGCAACAUGACACUGUCUGUGCUUUCUAUAAUCUGUUUCCUCUUCGCUAUCUAUAUGGCAAGGCUGAGAAGCUUAAAUUUUCUAUGGUAUGGUACCAUCGAUUGUUGAUCGUCGAAACUAAGAACUUUCGAGGAAGUCAAAACCCUGAGUUCAACUGAUAGAUUCCGUUUGGCUUAGUAGGAGUUAUUGCUGUUUGGGCAAUCAUUUAAAACGAAAAGGAAGAAGAAAAAAGACCUCAGUCUUUUGUCUCUUUCUGCUUUGCGGUUGAUCGGUGGGCCGACUCAGAAAUUCGUGUUGGUUAUAGGUUCAAUAUUUCGCAGCUCGUAUCAAUUAUGCAUAAAGAACAGACGAAGCACAAAGUUUUCUUCUUUGUGAAAGUUCUAGGAGGCUAUUUAAUUUCUGUGGUGAUCAAAUUGAAGCCUUGUUCCAUAAUUUUCUCGUCAAUCUAUAUACCUGAAACUGUAGGGAAGCUUAUCAAAGAGAGCUUUUAACUAUCUGCCUGCAUGCGUUUUGCUGAUUGCUAAAUUUGGUGUGCAGUGCAUCUGAGGGUCUGCCACUCCCCUUUUGAGAAAAGAAAUAUGGUUUCCGCAAACAGGGAAAUGGCUGUGUAUUGCUUUGACACUCUCGUUGCUCACUAUAACAACGAGGAAGCACCCCCUCCCGCCUUUGAUGAGGGCCAACAGUAAACCCGUUCAUCCUACCCUUCCCUCUUUUGUUCCAUUGAUUUCUAGUAUUUACGGCCAUAACCAUAUGAUUGAAUAGAAUUCUGGUGUAAAUGAAGCCCCUUUUUCAGUCUCGUUGUCUUCUUAAAACCCUUUUCGAUAGGUUUCAUAGUUUAAGCUACGAUCGUGAACAAGCAUCCUCGCUUUUUCAAUGGGAACUUUUUUUUUUCUCCUAGUUGUAUGCAUAAAUCAUAAUCAUCCGGCAUUUUAUGGUAGAUGGUACCAUUGUCGAUGAUGAUGAUAACCUCUUCAGUUCAAGCAAUGAUUUCGUGUUUUGUUCUUUCAGACUUCAGAGCCUUCUUUCCUGUUUCAUAUUUCCUUGGUACUUUGAUUUCUAAUGGACUCAGUUUGCUCAUCUGGUUCUAUUAUUUGUAGUGUGGUGUGUUAGCAUUAACUUGAUCUUCUUUGCAGUCGGGUCCUCUUUCAGAAUGUAAAUUUUUUAAAUGUUAUUCUCGCAUCUUGUUCUCACAGGAAUACUUUUUAUUAUCUUUACUGUGAAUUCACUAAGCAUAACAUGUCUUUUGUUAUAAAUUUUCUCCCAG
rnacentral:lncRNA from 1 species